ACUCCAGACUCCUACGGGAGGCAGCAGUGGGGAAUAUUGCACAAUGGGGGGAACCCUGAUGCAGCGACGCCGCGUGGGUGAAGGAGUACUCCGGUACGUAAAGCCCUAUCAGCAGGAAAGAAAAUGACGGUACCUGACUAAGAAGCCCCGGCUAACUACGUGCCAGCAGCCGCGGUAAUACGUAGGGGGCAAGCGUUAUCCGGAUUUACUGGGUGUAAAGGGAGCGUAGACGGCAGUGCAAGUCCGGAGUGAAAGCCCGGGGCUCAACCCUGGGACUGCUCUGGAAACUGUAAAGCUGGAGUGCGGGAGGGGCAGGCGGAAUUCCUGGUGUAGCGGUGAAAUGCGUAGAUAUCAGGAGGAACACCGGUGGCGAAGGCGGCCUGCUGGACUGCGACUGACGUUGAGGCCCGAAAGCGUGGGGAGCAAACAGGAUUAGAUACCCCUGUACG
rnacentral:rRNA from 1 species